rnacentral:misc_RNA from 1 species
GAAAUGCGAUAAGUAAUGUGAAUUGCAGAAUUCAGUGAAUCAUCGAAUCUUUGAACGCACAUUGCGCCCGCCAGUAUUCUGGCGGGCAUGCCUGUUCGAGCGUCAUUUCAACCAUCAAGCCCCGGGCUUGUGUUGGGGACCUGCGGCUGCCGCAGGCCCUGAAAAGCAGUGGCGGGCUCGCUGUCACACCGAGCGUAGUAGCAUACAUCUCGCUCUGGGCGUGCUGCGGGUUCCGGCCGUUAAGCCACCUUCGUAACCCAAGGUUGACCUCGGAUCAGGUAGGAAGACCCGCUGAACUUAAGC